rnacentral:rRNA from 1 species
UACAGAGGGUGCGAGCGUUAAUCGGAGUUACUGGGCGUAAAGGGCGUGUAGGCGGCUUCGUGUGUCCCAUGUGAAAGCCCUCGGCUCAACCGGGGAACUGCAUGGGAAACUGCGUGGCUUGAGUCCGGGAGAGGUGAGUGGAAUUCCCAGUGUAGCGGUGAAAUGCGUAGAUAUUGGGAGGAACACCGGUGGCGAAGGCGGCUCACUGGACCGGUACUGACGCUGAGACGCGAAAGCCAGGGGAGCAAACGGG